AACUUUCUUUUUACUUAUCUUGAAAAUAAGUUUUAGAAAAAAUCUAGAAAGUUU
rnacentral:tRNA from 1 species